rnacentral:rRNA from 1 species
AGUGAACGCUGGCGGUAGGCCUAACACAUGCAAGUCGAACGGCAGCACAGGAGAGCUUGCUCUCUGGGUGGCGAGUGGCGGACGGGUGAGGAAUACAUCGGAAUCUACUCUGUCGUGGGGGAUAACGUAGGGAAACUUACGCUAAUACCGCAUACGACCUACGGGUGAAAGCAGGGGACCUUCGGGCCUUGCGCGAUUGAAUGAGCCGAUGUCGGAUUAGCUAGUUGGCGGGGUAAAGGCCCACCAAGGCGACGAUCCGUAGCUGGUCUGAGAGGAUGAGCAGCCACACUGGAACUGGGACACGGUCCAGACUCCUACGGGAGGCAGCAGUGGGGAAUGUUGGACAAUGGGCGCAAGCCUGAUCCAGCCAUACCGCGUGGGUGAAGAAGGCCUUCGGGUUGUAAAGCCCUUUUGUUGGGAAAGAAAUCCAGCUGGCUAAUACCCGGUUGGGAUGACGGUACCCAAAGAAUAAGCACCGGCUAACUUCGUGCCAGCCGCCGCCGUAA